ACGGCUCACAGACAUAUCACAUCCUGCUUAAAAUCCAAGGUUUCCAGAGUGAGGAAAAGAGGACCAAUCAGAGACUCUUCUACAGUCAUUUCCUAGGUAACACUCGAACUGACAAACAAAUCAUACUGUAAGCAGGAGAUGGAAAGGAUAAGCUGCCCGUGCUUCCAGAGGUUUACGUGAAGGAACCUACGGCAUUACCCAUCCUGAGCUGAGAAGAGCAUCCC
rnacentral:lncRNA from 1 species